rnacentral:rRNA from 1 species
UACGAAGGGGGCUAGCGUUGCUCGGAAUCACUGGGCGUAAAGCGCACGUAGGCGGAUCGUUAAGUCGGGGGUGAAAUCCUGGAGCUCAACUCCAGAACUGCCUCCGAUACUGGCGAUCUUGGAGUCCGGGAGAGGUGAGUGGAACUCCGAGUGUAGAGGUGAAAUUCGUAGAUAUUCGGAAGAACACCAGUGGCGAAGGCGCCACUCUGGGCCGUAACUGACGCUGAGGAGCGAAAGCGUGGGUAGCAAACAGG